rnacentral:rRNA from 1 species
CGCAGCGGUUAUAUCCGUUGAAUGCACGAAUAAAAAUGAAUCACUGAAGUUAAGCAACGUUGGGCGUGGUUAGUAUUUGAAUGGGUUACUAUCUGUGCAAUCGCGAGCUACUGACU